GAAAGUGAAAGUCUUGUUGGCAAACAAACCCUCAAAUGUUCGCGGAGCUCGUGCUUAUAUUAAUAUAACACAAUAAUGGAUACAUUCACCGGGAGAACUUCAGACAGGAGGGACACGCGUACAGAGGAUCCCGUUCGCGGCAGUGAAAAGAACAAGAAAAGACAUAUCCAGAGAAUAAGGAGUCCCUUACGGUAUACCCGCCCCUAUCAGCCAAGGUUUGAAGGGAAAAACCUGCAUUCACGUUUCAGGUUUUUCAGGACUAUGGAGGAACGGCGUUUUAUACGGCGCCCAAAUUUUGCACUGAGGUACCAGAGGCAUCAUACAUAUCAGUGGUCCAGUCUACAGCUAAGGCGUAAGCCCAGAGCCUCUCCUCCUUCCAGCCAGCAGUUGCACAAAGGCCUGAACAAGAAUAGCUCCACAGCACAUAUUGAACCCGGCAAAACAGACAUUUCUCGGCCAUCCUCUGGAAACAGACCAUCACUGCCAUCCACAGUAAGAGACCAGAAACUCCUUGCUUUGUACCAUUAUGAUCAUUCUCAAAUGAAUGUUUUUGGGUCAAUACAAGUUUUACUCUGUAUUAACAAAAUAUGUUAUAUAUGUGUGUGUGUUGAAUAGGGAUGCACCGAUACCACUUUUUCCAGUACUCGCCCGAUACCGA
rnacentral:lncRNA from 1 species